UACUAGAGUAGCACUCGCAUAUCAAUAAGCGGAGGAAAAGAAACUAACAAGGAUUCCCCCUAGUAACGGCGAGUGAAGCGGGAAGAGCUCAAAUUUGAGAUCUUAAAGGGUUUCCCUUUACGAAUUGUAGUUUAAAAGAAGUGUUUUCUGUUGAGGUUUUGGUAAAAGUUCUUUGGAAUAGGACAUCAUAGAGGGUGAGAAUCCCGUAUUUGACCUUUACUUUCAACUUUGUGAUACACUUUCAAAGAGUCGGAUUGUUUGGGAAUGCAGUCCAAAAUGGGUGGUAAAUUUCAUCUAAAGCUAAAUAUUGGCGAGAGACCGAUAGCGAACAAGUACCGUGAGGGAAAGAUGAAAAGAACUUUGAAAAGAGAGUUAAACAGUACGUGAAAUUGUCAAAAGGGAGGCGUUUGACACCAGUGUUGUUUUUCUGAAAAUCAAUUAAAGAACUGUUUAUGCUAAGCUGUUUAGACUUUAUCAGCUAAUCUGUUUAGUUUUGAGCUUUCCUUUAAUGCACUUUUCAGUUAACAAGUCAACAUCAAUUUCUUUUGCUGUAAAAAAGCUUGAGGAAGGUGGCUUGAGAUUCGUCUUAAGUGUUUAUAGCCUCUUGCCUAUGCAGUCGGAGAGAUUGAGGUCUGCAGCGUAGAUCCUUCGGGGCUAAAUGCAUUUGUGCUAAGUUAUAGCAUUUUAUAGACAACUUGUUGACUAUGAUUUGUCUUGUAGCUUACUCGCUUAUGUUAUUUUACCUACGCUUAGGAUGUUGAGCGCAUGUCCUCUCU
rnacentral:rRNA from 1 species